UUUUGCACAGGUCCCCACAUGAACAAAAUACCAGCAGUUCACUGUCAUGAGGGACUUCAGCUCAGGGUCAAGGAGGAGCGGGACAACAGUUCGUGAGCCAUUAUAGGAGACCUUGGUUCAGGUUCCAGAAGUGCAGAGUUCCUAGUCUUUGGAAGAAGCAAACCUGUCGACCUCCUCUUUAGGCUUAGAUUUAGGAGACAUAUUUUAGUCCUAUGCGAAGGACAUGGUACCAUUUUAUUUAUUGGCUGAUGCAA